CCGCGCCCUCACCUCUCUCUCCCCAUCCAAACCCUACCUCGCGCCCGCCUCCCUGCCCUGCCGCCGGCGCCGGCGCCGCCGCUCGCCCGGGCACCCAUCCCCGGCCUCACGCCGCCCAUCUAGAGAGAUGGGGGCCGCGCGCGACGAGGCCGGCGUGCCGUCGUCUCGUCUUCUGCCGCGCCCGCCUCCCUGCCUCGCCGCUGGCCGCCGCCGCCACUGCUCGCCCGGGUACCCGGCCGCGGGUGAUGUGGCCGACGUGCCGCCGUCCCGUCUUCUGCGAGGUCGAGGAGAGCCAAUCCCACCUCGCCGCCAUCUCCUUCAUCCAGCCGGCUGCCGCCUUGGCCGACUCCUCUUCCCCUCCCGUCCUCCUCCUCUCGCGUCUCCUUCCCAUCGUCAGGCCGCAUACUGCUCCACCCUUCCUCCUCCCCUCCCAUCGCUCCCCUCUAACGCUAGGAGUGGGUGAGGAGGCUGAGCCACUGCCCGCUGCCGGCCCGCAACACCUCCUGUUCGACCAUGCCGAGGAAGCACUGGACCUUCAUCCUUGCGUCUGUGCAGAGACGACCCGAGCAUAUGUUGCUGCAUUGGGAGAUUUGGAGUACGUGCAUUGAGGCUUAAAUGUGCAAAUGCACACUGCUGGAGCGCCCUUCAGCAACGAGGAGGCCCAACGCGACACGGCCGCCGCCUGCGUCGGUUCUCCCCAGCACGACACGGCCGCCGCGGGCAUCGGUUCUCCCCAGCACAACCACUCUGAAGACGCCCAGGUCCACUGUAGCUGUUGUUCUCUUGUCUUCUUGCACAUAGUACAUCACUUGAUAGUUGAGACUAUACUGGAAAUCGGAUACUCUGAAGCAGUAAAACGUUUCGAGUUCGAUGGUCAGCUUGGCCCAUACAAUUUGGAUUCUUUUGGAGACUGGAAACAACUUUAAAGCUACUUGUCACAAAGUGUCAUUGAACGCCUUGAGCCAAUUGGUGGCAAUUGCAUUGGAGACAUCAUGGAUGGAUAGAGCUCCCCAAAUGGAUAUGGGGAGACGAUUGAUGGAAACACUUAGAGAAGACAAAUUUGCCAAGAAAGCGCCUGCACACACUGAGAGGAGAGGAUGCUAUUACACAACUAUCCCGCUUCGCUUUGGAAUAUACAAUAAGGUCAAUGGGCAAUGGCUAGCAAUCAGGAUUAUUAGCUGUCCAAUCACCCAGAAACUUUGAGCUGAAAAUGGAUGGAUGGAUGCACGGUGUGAUAAGAUCAUGAAGAAAGUGUUUUGAAGAGUAUCCCGAGGUUGAGAACAUUUAUAGUGAAUUACAGGAAACAAAACGGUCUUACUCCAGUUCACAUCCAUGGUCUGCACUUGCGUCGCGCCCUUUCCUCUCCCUGCCGCCUUGCCUCUCUCCCUGCCUGCUCGUUGCCCCGGUCGUCUCUGAUGGUGCUCCUAGAUGUGCUAUACAUCACCUCCUCACCUCCUUGGCCACUUCGGUGCCCAUGGCUUUCGUGCUCGUCGGCAGGAUGGUGCAAGGCGCAACUCCGAUGUGGUUCCUCACUGGUUGGAUGGCGUUCAGGCGUAACCCCGGUGCCCUCUGAGUACUGCCUCGGCUACAACCUCCCUCUGUGAGCUCCAUCUUCCCCUGCUCUGCUUCGGCUACUAUAUGGGACAUGGCCAGGGCUAUGAUGAUCAGUUAUGGCUGAUAUAGGCAUGCUCUCAAGCAGUCGAGGCACUUGUGGGUAUUAAUUUGGAUCCUCCCUCGUUUCUUUGAGCUGUUUUGAGCACGUUCUUAUUUUAGUGGCUUUGUCCUUGGAUGGUCAUUUCUAAUGAGUGAUAACCAGGGCAGUUAAACCCUCGUAAGAACAUAUUGAUCCGGUGAUCCAUCCAGAAAUCCAGAAAUAAGUCCAUCCAUCCAGAAAUAAGAAUAGAAACUCCUCAGGCCGCUCCUUAGCGAUUUGGGAUUCCUGGCCGUCGGAUCUGGUUGCUUGAUGGAUCUUGGGCCGUCGGAUCGACCCCUGUAAUGACCUUGUCCGUCGGAUAAAAAAAAUUACUGCUGGAAUGAAUAGUUACUCCCAAAAUGAGAUAUCUCGUGCCACCGCGUUUGAAUCACGUGCCCCAUCGGUCGGAAGCCAUUCUUGCUAGGGCGAUGAUGAUUAGCCGUGGGUAUCAAGUUGGGUCCUCCCUCUUGUCUCUAGAAUCCUUUUUGAUCCUGUGAUACUUAUUGUUCUGUCCUUUGGAUGGUCAUUGAUCUGGUGAUAAGAGAUGAUGGGGGUAGAUUAUAUGAUCGAGGAAAGGCAAAUCUGAGCCCAUAUGCAUUGAACCCUGAACCCUUUUUAUUCGCACGUGGCCCACCGGUCGGAAGCCAUCCUUGCUAGGGCGAUGAUGAUUCGCUGUGGCUGAAAUAAGUGUGCCUUUGAGCAAUCAAGGCACCUGCGGGUAUCAAGUUGGGUCCUCCCUCUUGUCUCUAGAAUCCUUUUUGAUCAUGUGAUGUCCUUG